CAAUUGUUUAGAGGUUAUUUCAUCUUACCUUGCUAUAUUACAAUGUUGAUUUCGUUUCACACUUCUCCAAUCCUAACCCCCCUUUAGUAAUCGGACCCCGCACCACAAUGUUUUCAUUCCUGCGUUAGUAAACAAAUGAGCAUUCCCAUUUUUGUUUAGUAAACACGCCCUAAUAUUGGGCCUGUCCCGGCCCAUGCAGACUGCCAAGCCACCUUCAUUUGUUUUUUUUUGGUCUGAGCCAAGCCACCUUCAUUUUCCUCAAUUAAAAACAAAAGGAGCGCGUAUUGCAUUUUAGUGCGCUGAACAGUAUUCUCUGCUCUGCUCUGCUCAUCAAGAUCCGAACCGACCUUCACUACAACGCCGCUCUGUGCUCAUCUCAAUGACUAAAUCCUCUCCGCCACCUACUCCUAGCGUUUCUCGGAGUUCAUCACCGGCGUCAAGAAAGAAAUCAACAGUUGCGUGGAGUCACCGAUCGAUGAUCUACGAAUCUCAAUCACCGAGACGAGCUCGUCUCGCUUUGCGAAACUCGUUAGGGUUUCCAAUUGUUGGUACCGUAUCGGCCAGAAGAUGAUCGACGGAUCUGACGCAGUUUCGAAGAUGGCGUUCAAGUCGAAUGGGCCAGAAGUUUUAGGAGUUCGAUUGCAAGAGGAUAAGGAGACUAGGAAUUCGAUUCUCUCCGUCUUCAGGAAGAUGCGGAACUCGUUAAUGGCGAGGUCAUUUGGUUAUUGCGGUGGAGAAAUUCUGUAGGCCGUGGCCUCGAGUUCGUCUGAGGCAUCCAAGUUGUUUGGUGGUUUCAGUGGGACGGUUGCGGAUAGCAAUGGGAAGAGGUUCGCGCGGGAGCUUCAUUUGUGGUUUUGCAAUUGGUGCAGUUGUCGAUCUUCAUAAUGCAGACGGAGGACGAUGACGAAGAAGGUGAGAGACUGAAGACUCCAAAAUUCAUAUGAUGAUGAUGAUGAUGAUGAUGAGGAAAAAAAAGAAAGCAAAAGAGGAAAUUUUCGAGAUGGGACGGAAUAGAGGAAAUAUUGAGAAUGUGGGCCCAAAAUAUUGCGCCCUGGUCCUACCCACGGCUCAAUAAAUUGGACACAGCACAGAAACCGGCCCAAUAAUCGGAAAAUAGGUAUAAAGUCA